rnacentral:rRNA from 1 species
CUACGGGGGGCUGCAGCGGGGAAUAUUGUACAAUGGAGGAAACUCUGAUGCAGCAACGCCGCGUGGAGGAUGACACUUUUCGGAGCGUAAACUCCUUUUAUAUAGGAAGAAGAUGACGGUACUAUAUGAAUAAGCGCCGGCUAACUCCGUGCCAGCAGCCGCGGUAGUACGGAGGGCGCAAGCGUUACUCGGAAUCACUGGGCGUAAAGAGCGUGUAGGCGGAUUAAAAAGUCAGAAGUGAAAUCCUAUAGCUUAACUAUAGAACUGCUUCUGAAACUCUUAAUCUAGAAUAUGGGAGAGGUAGAUGGAAUUUCUGGUGUAGGGGUAAAAUCCGUAGAGAUCAGAAGGAAUACCGAUUGCGAAGGCGAUCUACUAGAACAUUAUUGACGCUGAGACGCGAAAGCGUGGGGAGCAAACAGGAUUAGAUACCCCGGUAGUC